rnacentral:rRNA from 1 species
AUUGAACGCUGGCGGCAGGCCUAACACAUGCAAGUCGAGCGGAUGAAGGGAGCUUGCUCCUGGAUUCAGCGGCGGACGGGUGAGUAAUGCCUAGGAAUCUGCCUGGUAGUGGGGGAUAACGUCCGGAAACGGGCGCUAAUACCGCAUACGUCCUGAGGGAGAAAGUGGGGGAUCUUGGGACCCCACGCAAUCGGAUGACCCUAGGUCGGAUUAGCUAGUUGGUGGGGUAAGGGCCUACCAAGCCGACGAUCCGUAACUGGUCUGAGAGGAUGAUCAGUCACACUGGAACUGAGACACGGUCCAGACUCCUACGGGAGGCAGCAGUGGGGAAUAUUGGACAAUGGGCGAAAGCCUGAUCCAGCCAUGCCGCGUGUGUGGAGAAGGUCUUCGGAUUGUAAAGCACUUUAAGUUGGGAGGAAGGGCAGUAAGUUAAUACCUUGCUGUUUUGACGUUACCAACAGAAUAAGCACCGGCUAACUUCGUG